CUUGGAGUUUUCUGGGAGAGGCCUCUUCAAGGGUGUCCUUGAAGCCCAGCCAUGGAUGUCCCUGUGGUUGGGAAAGGGGAGCUCAGGAUAACGGAGUAUCAUCAAGAACCUGCAGAUAUUACCUCCCUCAAGAACCGUGGUCUCAGCCCUGGCUGCAUAUUCCUUCAACGGGAGGGCUUUAGAAAUGCUGUGCCAGAGCUGCACCCCAGACCAACAAAAUCAGACUCUCCAGGAUGCGGCCAAGGCAUCAGUAUGUGGAAAGCUUUCAGGAAAACUGAGCAAAAUGAAAGCCAAUUCAAAGAAGAAGGAAUUAAGUACAUAAUUGUGCAGAUGAUACAUGGAAAUGGUAAGAAUGGUGACAAUGGGACAUAAGUGACUGAAAUUUGGGAUACAUUGGAUUAGAAGAAAAUAAGCCCCCAAGAAACCGAAAUAAGUCUGGAGGGCAGCAAGAGUGACUGUCCAGCUAAGAACCUCAUCAGCAAUGCAAAACAUUGUCACAGAUGUUGAAACAGACCCUGAGGUUAAUGCAUUCUUUCCAACAUUAGGUCCUAAAACUUCUCCUGAAAAGCUACCUUAAAUCCAACUUUUGAAAGUGCACAAUAAAGGUGAAUUAAAUAAAAGCAACUUGAAAUUUUUA
rnacentral:lncRNA from 1 species